UCCCUUUGGCAGACAAAGGAUGCUGCA
rnacentral:piRNA from 1 species